AGAUUGAACGCUGGCGGCAUGCCUUACACAUGCAAGUCGAACGGCAGCACGGGAGCAAUCCUGGUGGCGAGUGGCGAACGGGUGAGUAAUACAUCGGAACGUGCCCAAUCGUGGGGGAUAACGCAGCGAAAGCUGUGCUAAUACCGCAUACGAUCUACGGAUGAAAGCAGGGGACCGCAAGGCCUUGCGCGAAUGGAGCGGCCGAUGGCAGAUUAGGUAGUUGGUGGGGUAAAGGCUCACCGAAGCCGACGAUCUGUAGCUGGUCUGAGAGGACGACCAGCCACACUGGGACUGAGACGACGGCCCAGGACUCCGUACGGGAGGCGAGCAGGUGGGAACUUUUGGACAAGUGGACGAAAGCUGAUCAGCAAUGACCGUCGUGCAGGACUAGGAA
rnacentral:rRNA from 1 species